rnacentral:rRNA from 1 species
GACGAACGCUGGCGGCGUGCUUAACACAUGCAAGUCGAACGGAAAGGCCUCUUUCGGGGGGUACUCGAGUGGCGAACGGGUGAGUAACACGUGAGUAACCUGCCCUUGACUUUGGGAUAACUUCAGGAAACUGGGGCUAAUACCGGAUAGGAGCUCCUGCUGCAUGGUGGGGGUUGGAAAGUUUCGGCGGUUGGGGGUGGACUCGCGGCUUAUCAGCUUGUUGGUGGGGUAGUGGCUUACCAAGGCUUUGACGGGUAGCCGGCCUGGGAGGGUGACCGGCCACACUGGGACUGAGAUACGGCCCAGACUCCUACGGGAGGCAGAAGGGGGGAAGAUUGCACAAUGGGUGGAAGCCUGAUGCAGCAACGCCGUGUGCGGGAUGACGGCCUUCGGGUUGUAAACCGCUUUCGCUCAUGACGAAGCUUUGUGUGACGGUAGUGGGUAAAGAAGCACCGGCUAACUACGUG